ensembl:lncRNA
GUCCAGUUGAAAGUGCAGGUGGAAGAGAGAGGACAUUUGCUGCUCAAGUGAGGACAAAGAGGUGCUCUACUCUGCCAAGACAGAGUUCAGAUGCUGUGGUCACCUUUACUAUAACACCACCCUGUGGUCAUGCUGUGCUGGGGGGCUGAGAAGAAUCCGUGAACCAGGACAGGAUCAGAGAAAGAUGAUUAAUGGAUCCAGACUUCUAUCUGUGAAUAAUCUGAACAAAAUCGAUCUUUGCAAAGAAAUGCACAUUGGGACUGUGGAAAGUGUGUCGCUGCAGAGCAUUGUGUUCAGGAGUGUGCUGAAGGUCCAUGGGAUGGAGGCCAAAGUGAAAGCUCUGCCUUUCCCUUACAUCCUGGAAAGAGAUGAUCGCUGCAGCUCCCCUAAACUGAUUGCUGGGAAGACCUACUACUUUAACAAAGUUAAUGUUUUCAUUGAUUUCAGUCAUGACUCUGUUCUUCAGUCACUCCAUUUCAUUAUUUCCAAAUGUUCAUCUCAGGUCACCACUGGCUGAAGUAUACAUGGUCAGUGUGGAUCUGUUGCUCCCUUCUUUGAACAAGUUCUCUUUUUUCACAUAUUUACUCACAGUGUUGGCUUUGUCACACAGAAAAUUAAUUAAUUACACAUCACAUUAUACUGGUUAACAUUAUUUUACAAAGUAAUUUGUUACCAUAUUUAUUACAGAGUACUUGUUGCAUUGCAACCUAAUAUACUCACCCCAAAUUACUCUCUGAUGCACCCAUCACAGUGUGAAUGUUUGCUUGAACUUAAACACAGAAAGAAGUCGUUGUAUGAAUGUGUGAAUGAGGGACGUUGUAUCAAGCGCUUUGAGUGCUCAGGUAGGGUAGAAAAGUGUUAUAUAGAAGAACCUGUCCAUUUAUCAGUAGUAUACAAUACUUCACAUGAUAUGUUGUUUAUACAUUACUCUGCCUAUGUCCAGCCAAACCAUGUUGCUCUGUUGUUUAACACAUCCCAAGAUGUCUUAUCACAGACAGAAUUUAGGUACUUUAAGUAAAGAAAACAAAAAACAAUGUAGCUUUUAACUUCAGUUUUACAGGGACUCACAUUGUAGUGAUUCACACAACUUGACAUUAAUCAAUACUGUAACACAGUAAGCUGGUGCACAAUGUUGUUUCUCAAAUCUAAAUUUGAACAAAAUCUAAAUGUAACUUUGAUUCUUGCACUGAACUAAAAUAUAAGGGACAACUGUGUGCACAUGUCCUUGAAC